GAUGAACGCUGGCGGCGUGCCUAAUACAUGCAAGUCGAGCGAAUGGAUUAAGAGCUUGCUCUUAUGAAGUUAGCGGCGGACGGGUGAGUAACACGUGGGUAACCUGCCCAUAAGACUGGGAUAACUCCGGGAAACCGGGGCUAAUACCGGAUAACAUUUUGAACCGCAUGGUUCGAAAUUGAAAGGCGGCUUCGGCUGUCACUUAUGGACGGACCCGCGUCGCAUUAGCUAGUUGGAGAGGUAACGGCUCACCAAGGCAACGAUGCGUAGCCGACCGGAGAGGGUGAUCGGCCACACUGGGACUGAGACACGGCCCAGACUCCUACGGGAGGCAGCAGUAGGGAAUCUUCCGCAAUGGACGAAAGUCUGACGGAGCAACGCCGCGUGAGUGAUGAAGGCUUUCGGGUCGUAAAACUCUGUUGUUAGGGAAGAACAAGUGCUAGUUGAAUAAGCUGACACCUUGACGGUACCUAACCAGAAAGCCACGGCUAACUACGUGCCAGCCGCCGCAGUAA
rnacentral:rRNA from 1 species